AGGAACGUUAAAGACGAUGACGUUGAUAGGCCGGGUGUGUAAGCGCAGCGAUGCGUUGAGCUAACCGGCACUAAUGAACCGUGAGGCUUAACCUUACAACGCCGAAG
rnacentral:rRNA from 1 species